GGCUUAAUUAUUUUUUUGGUUCCUUAACUUAUUUUUUGGUGUCGUUUUGGUCCCUUAACUUACUUUUUGGUUUCGUUUUGGUCCAUUAACUCUUCCUCCGUCAACUACUUUGGUCCUUUAUGUUAGGAUGAAUGUAUUAGAGUUAAGGGACCAAAAUGAAACCAAAAAAUAAGUUAAGCGACCAAAAUGAAACCAAAAAAUAAGUUAAGGGACCAAAACGAAACCAAAAAAUAAGUUAAGGGACUAAAACGAAACUUUUAAUAGUUAAGGGA
rfam:Medicago truncatula strain A17 chromosome 2, whole genome shotgun sequence.